CAAGAUGGUGUUUUUUAAAGAGGAGACUAAAGAAAUGAUGAUUGAAGAAACAUUUAGUGUGAAACAAGAAGAAACUGAGGAACAAACAGAUUCACCCGCUGUAAAACGCAAAAGAAUUCGGACUUUGGAGUGGCUAGAGAAAAAAAGAGCCUGCAACCGGAACCAUGCGAAAACAAGGAUAAACAUCGGCAGGGCUUUUGAAAGGUGGCGUGAACUUCGUGUUUUGAAGGGGUUCAAAACUGACACAGAGACGGCUUUUUUUCUUUUGGACAGAUAUGAAAGGCAGCAAUUCA